rnacentral:rRNA from 5 species
AAAUCCGGAAAAUCAAGGCUGAGGCGUGAUGACGAGGCACUACGGUGCUGAAGCAACAAAUGCCCUGCUUCCAGGAAAAGCCUCUAAGCAUCAGGUAACAUCAAAUCGUACCCCAAACCGACACAGGUGGUCAGGUAGAGAAUACCAAGGCGCUUGAGAGAACUCGGGUGAAGGAACUAGGCAAAAUGGUGCCGUAACUUCGGGAGAAGGCACGCUGAUAUGUAGGUGAAGUCCCUCGCGGAUGGAGCUGAAAUCAGUCGAAGAUACCAGCUGGCUGCAACUGUUUAUUAAAAACACAGCACUGUGCAAACACGAAAGUGGACGUAUACGGUGUGACGCCUGCCCGGUGCCGGAAGGUUAAUUGAUGGGGUUAGCGCAAGCGAAGCUCUUGAUCGAAGCCCCGGUAAACGGCGGCCGUAACUAUAACGGUCCUAAGGUAGCGAAAUUCCUUGUCGGGUAAGUUCCGACCUGCACGAAUGGCGUAAUGAUGGCCAGGCUGUCUCCACCCGAGACUCAGUGAAAUUGAACUCGCUGUGAAGAUGCAGUGUACCCGCGGCAAGACGGAAAGACCCCGUGAACCUUUACUAUAGCUUGACACUGAACAUUGAGCCUUGAUGUGUAGGAUAGGUGGGAGGCUUUGAAGUGUGGACGCCAGUCUGCAUGGAGCCGACCUUGAAAUACCACCCUUUAAUGUUUGAUGUUCUAACGUUGGCCCCUGAUCGGGGUUGCGGACAGUGUCUGGUGGGUAGUUUGACUGGGGCGGUCUCCUCCUAAAGAGUAACGGAGGAGCACGAAGGUUGGCUAAUCCUGGUCGGACAUCAGGAGGUUAGUGCAAUGGCAUAAGCCAGCUUGACUGCGAGCGUGACGGCGCGAGCAGGUGCGAAAGCAGGUCAUAGUGAUCCGGUGGUUCUGAAUGGAAGGGCCAUCGCUCAACGGAUAAAAGGUACUCCGGGGAUAACAGGCUGAUACCGCCCAAGAGUUCAUAUCGACGGCGGUGUUUGGCACCUCGAUGUCGGCUCAUCACAUCCUGGGGCUGAAGUAGGUCCCAAGGGUAUGGCUGUUCGCCAUUUAAAGUGGUACGCGAGCUGGGUUUAGAACGUCGUGAGACAGUUCGGUCCCUAUCUGCCGUGGGCGCUGGAGAACUGAGGGGGGCUGCUCCUAGUACGAGAGGACCGGAGUGGACGCAUCACUGGUGUUCGGGUUGUCAUGCCAAUGGCACUGCCCGGUAGCUAAAUGCGGAAGAGAUAAGUGCUGAAAGCAUCUAAGCACGAAACUUGCCCCGAGAUGAGUUCUCCCUGACUCCCUGAGAGUCCUGAAGGAACGUUGAAGACGACGACGUUGAUAGGCCGGGUGUGUAAGCGCAGCGAUGCGUUGAGCUAACCGGUACUAAUGAACCGUGAGGCUUAACCUU